GUUACGAAACGUGUUCCUCGACUGGCUUCACUGUAAUUUGAGUGACGACGUCGGACGGAACAGGAGCCACCGGUUGCAAUCACCUUUCUUCAAACCACCGACUUUGAUCAUUUUUACUUCUUUAACUCAAGUCUAUACCUUUGUGUCGGGAUACGUUGUGGUUUUUUUUCUACAUAUAUUGUAUUCACAUCGUCAGAGCGGGGCCUUCACACAGCAGUCGACCUGAUCGUAUUUUGGAAACAAAACUAUGGCAAAGGGAAAUGACUCUCAAUCCGAAAUGGCAUGUGCCCGUCAGACUGAUUGCAUCAAUGUAAUCUUCGACAAGAACAGCCCUGUCUCGUCUCCCUCACGAUGCGGAUCAAGUAUCAGCUGUGAAAGUGACCGCUCCUCUGACUCUGUAGACCACAGGGGACGUGGGAGCAACAGAAAUAGGUCCUCUUCUUCAUCUUCUUCAUCCAGCAGCAGGUCUCCCCGCUCCAGGUCCCGUUCUCACCCUCGUUGCCACAGACCUUCUUCACGCUGUCGCUGCAACAACCAUUUUAGACAUGGCCGUGGCAGACGUCCUAGCUCCCCACCACGGCGCUACAGGGCCCGGUCUCGCUCCUGCAGCCGGUCACCACUGACAAACUCCGACUCCAGUCGCAGACAGAACAGGUCUCGUUCCAGGUCACCCAGACGCUGGAGCAGAUACAGCAAGGCUGCUAGUCAUUCUCUCCAGUCUUCCUCAAGAACCUCAGAACGCUCUGAUAGUUUGAGUGUGGAUGAUAAAAGGGAACUUCUCAAAGCUGCGUAUGCCAAUUCUAUGAAGAUCCUAGGAGUGGAUAAUCUGGACCUUCCUGAGAGCGUGAAACCAAUCCUGCCAAAGCAUUUGGAAUCCAAACCAGUGUCGCCAGAGCCAGGGACAAGGGUAACACAAAACCCUAUGAAGACUCUUGCACAGCAGAAUCCUCCAAUUGCUGAUGGUGUGCAGGGACUGGACUUCAUUAUAGUGACUGUCCCUGUCAAGAGAACUAAAAAAAGAUGAAGAACUCCACUCCCUAUGCCAAAGAUAAGUUGGUACACCGGCUAUGUCCUGAGGUGCUGGGAAACCUACAUGAUCAUUCUGCCACUGUAGAAAGAGAAGGCAUCCUUUUUUAUUUGCAUUUUUUUGUUUUAUUGUGAUAAGGUAUAUCCUUUUAGCAUUGAUUUAAUGGUUGAGCAUAGUCUUUUAAAGCAGUUGGAAAGGGGGAAACUAGCAUGAAAGAUGCAGUUUGUGGGAGCUGAGAUUUACUUGUAACCUAUGCUGUGAUAGUGUUUUGAUAUACAAGAAUUUGAAGCUAUUACCGUACUUGUGUAUAAACUGACAGUUCAACACUCACCCUACCUAUCUGACUAGAUCUGCUUUUCUUGUCUUUUUGGAACAGAUGCAUGAGGAGGAGUCCGAAGAUGUACCUAGCCUGAAACUGUGCCAAAAAGGGAAAAUCUCUUUCAGCAUUAAUAAUUCUGUGGUGAAACCAACAGUGAUAGCUCUAUCUUGUGCUAAGGUGACUCCAAGAAUGGACAGCUAUGAAAGCAGGAAGCCAUAUGGCCACUGGGUUCCAGUUAAAUCAGGAAGAAGCUCCAAAGCAAGCAAGCGCCACCUUGCCAAGUCACACUAGUGUGGCAAAA